CCAAUAGCGUAUAUUAAAGUUGUUGCAGUUAAAAAGCUCGUAGUUGAACUUCGGGGUUUACUCAUUGGUCAGGCUUAAUUGUCUGCACUGGUGAGAUGAAUCUCUACCUUCUGAGGAACUUUCAUGCCAUUUAUUUGGUGUGAUGGGAAAUCAGGACUGUUACUUUGAAAAAAUUAGAGCGUUUAAAGCAGGCUAACGUCUGAAUACAUUAGCAUGGAAUAAUGAAAUAGGACGGACUGAUUCUAUUUCGUUGGUUUCUAGGAUCACCGUAAUGAUUAAUAGGGAUAGUUGGGGGCAUUAGUAUUCAAUUGUCAGAGGUGAAAUUCUUGGAUUUAUUGAAGACUAACUACUGCGAAAGCAUUUGCCAAGGAUGUUUUCAUUAAUCAAGAACGAAAGUUAGGGGAUCGAAGACGAUCAGAUACCGUCGUAGUCUUAACCAUAAACUAUGCCGACUAGGGAUCGGACGAAGUUAAUUUUAUAAUGACGCGUUCGGCACCUUACG
rnacentral:rRNA from 1 species